CAAAAUGCAACAACAAAGCUUACCAGCAGAACUAAAAAUGUGGAAAAAAAAAAGGUGCUACAUUACAAAAUGGGAAUUAUGUCAGCACAAAAACAUUUUUUAAGUGGGCGGCAGUCUUGAGCCAAGCUGCUUAGCGGUCGCGGGGAGUGCUGCAGCCUAUACCAGCUGUCAACGGGCAGGAGGCAAGGUACACCCUGACCUGGUUGCCAGUCAAUCGCAGGGCACAUGGAGACAAGCAGCCGCACUCACAAUCACAGGUCGCUGUAGUCCGGUUACACAUGGGAGUGAGACUGUCAUGCUCCUGGCAUCCUGCCCAGGCUGGGCGUGGCCAGCCAAUUAGUCGGAACACACCUGCCCCCUGUUUCGGCUGAUUACACCCGGUACUUAUAGGACACAGGGGACGAGUCCUCCGCCAGAUCGCCGAUUCUCAUGCCUCUUUCCCACACUCCCGUAUACCUGACCUACCGCGUACCGACCCUCGCCUGUUCCCUGACCAUCCUAAUAAGCCUGCCUCUUCUGAUACUGCUACUUUUCCUGACUGACUCGCUGAUCAUUGACCACGGAACGAAUAAAGGCUUUCUGUACACUACCUGCUUGCCUCUGGAGUCGUGCAUUUGGGUCCGCCCUCGAGCCUCGUCCAUGACAGAGACUGCUGUCAUAAUGGUGACUAAACAGUUAAAUUUUGCUGUUGGGUGUUGGAUGAAAACGCUACCCAUUA